CCUACGGGCGGCAGCAGUAGGGAAUAUUGCUCAAUGGGGGAAACCCUGAAGCAGCAACGCCGCGUGAAGGAUGAAGGUUUUCGGUUUGUAAACUCCUUUUGUUAGAGAAGAUAAUGUCAGUAUAUGACGAAUAGACAGUAGCUAACUACGUGCCAGCAGCCACGGUAAUACGAAGGGUGCAAGCGUUACUCGGAAUGACUGGGCGUACCGAGCGCGUAGGCGGGAUAGCAAGUCAGAUGUGAAAUCCUAUGGCUUAACCAUAGAACUGCAUUUGAAACUGUUAUUCUAGAGUAUGGGAGAGGUAGGUGGAAUUCUUGGUGUAGGGGUGAAAUCCGUAGAGAUCAAGAGGAAUACUGAUUGCGAAGGCGACCUGCUAGAACAUAACUGACGUUGAGGCGCGAAAGCGUGGGGAGCAAACAGGAUUAGAUACCCGAGUAGUC
rnacentral:rRNA from 1 species